AACUUUUCCUUUUUAUAAGUUUGGGCCCAGGACUCAACAGUGUGGCAGCUGAGGAUUGGCCAUGGCAUUCAGUGACCACAAUGGUGCCCACACUAGUCUUUGCCGCCUGGCCUGGAACCAUCUCCCUUACUCACCAACACAAAUGAACUUAAAGCCUAUGUGAGACCUGGCCGAGGGUCCUCGAAGGUGUCAGAACCAGGCUUCCUGCAUGCCCACCUCCUCAUCAGGACCAGCUGCUUAUCCAUUUUCUCUCUGCCACCUUUUGAACACAAGAUGUCCCCAACAUGGACCACUCUCCUGGGUCUGCUGUACCUGGAAGCCUGCCUCUGUUCCAUGGCCAUGGCCAGCCGGGUGGUUCAGAACAAGCACAGAGGUUGCUCAGAAGCCUGACUUAGUCUCUGAAGGCCCCACAUCUCCUCUGAGGGUCCAUGCCAUGGCAUCUAGAAUCCACCCAGAUGAUGCAGGACAGUGUUCUGAAAACAUCCAUGACUUAACCACUUCUUUGGCCAAAUAAAAUAAUUUCUACUCUUUUUUUGCCAAAUAAGGAGAAGGUGCAAGCUCCUAGGAUGGAAAUGCGCUGUAUCUCUGGGGCCAUCAUUCAACUAUCACAGAGGCCUUGGAAGAGGCAUCCUGAAGAGCAAGGAGAACCAGGAAAACAGACAGAGAGAGAGAAUAUGCUGAGAGCCAGACCCCUGCCCUAGCUUUGGGGUUUCAGGGUAACACUAAGGUUCAGUGACCUUCCUGGUCCACACACCUCCACCUCAGGCCCACUGUCGUGACUCAACUAUCUCCUGAUGUCCCUGCCCACCUGAGGCCUCGUCCCACUGGCCACUGUCUGUUCAGAAAUGAAUGAGUGAAUGAAUGCAGGAAGAAUGAUGCUUUGGGAACAGAUGGCCUUCUAAACAGUCAGCUCCAAAGGAGGAGCCUGACCAUAGAGCUCAAGCAUGCCCAGCUCCUCCUGCUGAAGCCCCUGGUACUGCCAGAGCCCAGCAUCUGCACUGUCUUUCCCCAGGACAUGUCAGAGCAGUGACAUCUUAAGGCUUUGGUAGACCUGCUUCAGAUAAACACAACUGCUAUGGGUGGGGCCACUGGCCAGCAAUACGGGGUCCAGGGCUGUGGUGGUGCAGGUGGGACAGCUUGUGGGCAAGGCAGGCACACUGCCUCCUCUCUUCUGCUGGCCCAAUGGCUGGUUCACACCACUGGG
rnacentral:lncRNA from 1 species